ACUGAGGAAGGAAGGAAGGAAGCAGGAUGGAGCUAGAAGGAGACCUGGGGGAGGCACAUGAAGAGAGACACAUGAAGAAACUGCGUUUGCCUUUUGGUCGUGGACUGGGUGACACAGAUGUGGGAACUGCAGCAUCUUAUGAGGUCUUGGCACCAGAGGAAUUCAUACACUCAAAGACUUUUUUCAAAGGGAGGACACUGUUUGACUUGGUCAGUUACUAAACUUCACUCAAGAGGUUGCAUGAAGAAUGAACAAUGUAAAAAAAAAAAAUGAACAUUUGUGGAGGUUACACAGAUCCCUGAUCACACCAACCUGCCUCUCCCCUAAAAAGCCAAUGUAAGGGGCCUCCCCAGUGGCGCAGCGGAUGA